rnacentral:rRNA from 1 species
CUACGGGAUGCACCAGUGAGGAAUAUUGCACAAUGGGGGGAACCCUGAUGCAGCAACGCCGCGUGGAGGAUGACGCAUUUCGGUGUGUAAACUCCUUUUAUAUGUCAAGAAAAUGACGGUAGCAUAUGAAUAAGCGCCGGCUAACUCCGUGCCAGCAGCCGCGGUAAUACGGAGGGCGCAAGCGUUACUCGGAAUCACUGGGCGUAAAGGACGCGUAGGCGGGUUGAAAAGUCAGGGGUGAAAGCCUACAGAUUAACUGUAGAACUGCACUUGAAACUCUCAAUAUAGAGUAUGGGAGGGGCAGAUGGAAUUAGUGGUGUAGGGGUAAAAUCCGUAGAUAUCACUAGGAAUACCUAAAGCGAAGGCGAUCUGCUGGAACAUUACUGACGCUAAGGCGUGAAAGCGUGGGGAGCAAACAGGAUUAGAUACCCUUGUAGUC